ensembl:lncRNA
AUUUCCCUGUUGAAAGUAUUAAACUGUUUGGUUAUCCACAAUGCGCCUAGACUUCCGCAAAGACUUUCCUGCUGUUAUGUUAAGGAAGGUUUACUUUGGCACUUGCUAUUCCUAUAAUCCUGAGUUGUCAAUGAAUUGACCAACUUUUCAUCAUCCCUAGCAUGAGAGAUACUCAUGAUCUCGACUCUUCUGAAAAGCAAGAUUGCACUGGGGUCCUCUCAUAAGUUUUCUUGGGUUUGUGCCCAAGAAAGGAGGAGGAAGAGGGAGGAGGGAGUGCAUAAGAAGCAUCUGGCAGUACAUCUGCAUCCAGUCCCUGCUGACAUCCUGAGAUCCACCUGCCUGGGCGCACUCCUCCUUUUGUACAGAGCUUGACAUAUCUGGUACCCCACUGCCAGACAACCUCAGCAAACACUUCUCUCUCCAAGGGAGGCUGAGUCACUUAUCAGUGUCUUCAUCUUCUGUUAUCUCAUUGCUAACCUGAUGGAAGAGUAUGCAGUCUCUUUUCAAACUGCUUAUGGCUCUCUGGAAGGAAUCUGCCAAAGAGCCUUGAUCUGAGCAAGCUGGAAGGUCUGAUCUAGGUGCAAAGAUCAAAACCGGCCUCCUCCAGACCAAUGACCCUGAGGUUUUAAUUCUUUACAAAGGACACAAAAACUAAGAUGGUAACUGAGAUAAAUGUUAAUGAGUGGAUGUGAUAGCUCUGUUCCUCAAGGCUUUGCAAGGAAGCAGCAAGGAAGUACUGAAGGCCUCAGGGCCAGCUCUAUAGUUAGCUGAUCAGUUGAAAGUCAGUUAUGAUUUUUUCCUGUUAUUCUACAUCACUUUGCUUUAUGCAUUACUGUACAUACCCUUUGGUAGACCCUUUUAAAGCAACUGAAGAACUCAAUUCUUAAAAGGGGCACUUCAACUCUCUUAAGUUCUCGGAAAUACAAGAUAAUUUUUCAUUCUGAGUUGGCAAUGAUCCCCACACUAGUGGUGGAAUAGGGGGAAUAAUAGCUUUGUGAAAACUACUCUAGAGAUCUGUACUGUAAGGAAUGAUAAAUAUAUGAUAGAGGAGUGAGGUCUACUUUUAUCCUUUAUAAAUAUGCAGUGUAAUGAAAACUUCCUUCCUGUAUUUGUAUUAUUGUUUAAAUUUAACAUUUUAUGCCUAGGCACAACUCCUACUCCUGUGUUGCAGCAAUGAUUCUUGUUCCCAAAUGUCCUUGUGCUCACAAGGACUAUUUUUUCUUUCUUCCAUCUGUAUAUUUUACACAAAGAUGUGCAAAAAGAAGUUAUCUUCUGUAUGUAGGAAUUCAUUUAGUAAGAGACAUCUCUGCUAUGUAUAAAAGCAUAACAUAGUGUAGCAGAAUCACUUGUACCCGUGGGUCUGAGGGUACAACAAUCACAAGCAAAAUAGAUUGUCUCGGGUGGCCUCUCCAUCACCCGAGAACACUGACAUAGUCCAGUCACAGCAGCGUGUAUGCAAGAGGUUGAAUAAUGUAUGUGAAGAGCCUCUUAAGCAUUUAUGGUGUUCUUUUCAGUUGUCCUUUAGGUAUUACCCACUCCAUCAUGGUAUCAACUUGAAAAUUUCCUAAUACAGAGGGCAAAACUCACUGACAAGGAAAAAUUUCACAAGCAUUGCUGUUUUUAGAGUCAUAGGUUUGAUAAUUUCUGUGGAGAAUUUACCAAAUUUCAACAUCACAGUCAUCAGAAAAAGUCAUUUAUAUUACAAGUAAUUCCUAUUUCGAGGCAACCCUUAAGCAAAUGGAGGUAAUGAUCAUUCUGCAAAAGAUAAGAAGUCAUGUUUGACCAAACUGUGUCACUUUUCUAUUAAUUCACUAAUUCACUUAGAAUUUUAGUCACUUAGGAAAGUGACUAAAAGUCACUUUCCAUUAAUUCAUUAAUGUCACUUGCCACAAAGUCACUUUUCUAUUAAUUCAAAACAACUGAUGACUGGCUUAUAAGAAAAAAAAAAAAAAUCAGACAUAUUCUCAUGGACAACACAAUCUUGUUUAUAACUUUUCUUAUUUUAACCUUAUUUUAAGCUUUCAGGUAUAAGGGCAAGGACUAUCAAAUAGCAUUUACAAGAAUACAGCAGGUUUUAAAGGGCUGCUCUUCAAAACAAAAAUCUAUGUAGCACACUGGGAAAAUUUUCCCUGCAUACAUUGCCUAACUCUAAAUGAAUGUGUGGUUUUGGUAAUGAUCUGAAGAAGACACUUUACUCUUUUCUCUGCUCAGCGCAUCCUGUUAUUACUGGAGCAGUAGAGACACAGCGGCACAAAGUAAAGUACUGCCCAGGCAGAACAGCUCAAGAAUGGCUACGAUUAAUGAACAGAUAAACACAAAUAUGAUGGUCUGCCUUUUAGGAAGGAACAGUCAUGAGCUCAUUAGAGCAGUGAGAACCCACAAUACCGUUGUUAAAACAGCCCUGCUUUAAGUAAACAACCAUAGCACCUUAGCUCAUCUUUUAAAUGAGAAGCUGAAGGAAGCCAUCAAAAGGGACGCAAGCAAAAACCUGACUUUCACCGUGCAGGCUGCUCUGAAGGCUCCUCAGGCAGGAAAGGCUAAAUAAAGCUGACCUGAAUUCAGAAUGUGAUGUCUUUCCCAAACCAGAUCAAGCCUUACUGUAUUACACAGAAAUAGCUUCUUGAGGCCUCUUCAGCUUCAGCCAGGCAAGAGCAGGGGAGAUGGCAAGUCACUCUCCAAGCCCCUCCAUGCAAAAGGAUAAUGUCUAAAGCUUUCCUACCAAAAGCAGUGGGCAUGAGCAUGGCAUUCUUUGACUGGAAAGCACUCCCACAGACACUAUGGGAAACAACUAUGCAGAAACAAGUUUCAAAAGCACAACAGAAGACAUUUUUCCUGGCACCUCCCUAAGAACCUAAUAAAUAAAAGUAAAAAGCCUGAACAUCUCAGCUUCUAUUUAUUUGUGGUAACAAACGAGGCACCAGUGGUGGUAGGAGACUCUCCCUGUAGGUUAAGUUAUGCUCUGUUCAUUUUUGUAGCCCGUCCAAAGCAAUCCAAGACUGCAAUCCUAUUCUAAACACCAGCAGCUCCCCACUGAGGAGUGGUGAUCCUCUAGGAGUGCAGAAUCAGCAAAAAGGCUCCCCUGCCAUUUCCCUCCCUGUCCCUCCACUCUGCUAACAGUAUCACAAGAGAAGAAGCUGUCUCUAGAGAAAUGGGAACAUUGCUAGUAUCAGUACAUUUACAUUUAACUCAUUGACACACAAAACUACUUUAGCUUGGCAUAAUGUGACUUUUUUUUAUACAUGAAGGCAACAGCAAUUAGCUUGACUUACGCUUUGUGUAAAGCUCCCAAACCCUGUUCAUUCCUUACUUAGAUAAAUGAACCAUUGAUCCAAUGAGAAGCUGCUUCGUUUCAGACAUCUUUAUCUCCUCCUGGCCCUUUUUUUUUUCUCCCUGUGGAAAAUAAGAAGUUGAGGUAGCUCUGAUUUUUCAUCAGAAUUAACUUUUUUUUCACCCUCUUCUUCUUGAACAGGAUGGUGAGAUGUGAGGCGGUUGUCUGCUGGAAGAACUGGCCAUUUUACUUCGAUUUUCUUCCACUCUCAUUCCCAGAGGGACUGUGAUACAAGAAUGACAUCAGUUUGUCACCAAGCUCCAUACUCACCUCCUGUGGCUUCACUCUUUAAAAUUCCUACAAUCUCUUUGUGAAAUGGCAAACUCCCAAAGAUCUAUAUGCUGCUCAGUUUUUACAAGGUUCAGCAAAAUGAAGCUCUUCGUAGCUCACAUUUAUAACUGAUCUGAGCAAACACCUUUUAGGGAGAAUUUGGGCAAGGCAUGAACUGCACUGCAGGGCUGUCAGCUUUUAGCUGCUUUUUUAGUGAUUCAGAAUAAGACAAAAGAAUCAAGCCUAUUGUUUGACUAGUCAUGUAUUUAUUUGUGGUCUUAACAUGCAAAACCAGUAUGACAAUUAUAGAAGUUAGAAAAAAUGUUUUGUAAUUCCUUUUAUUGCAUCUCUGGUAUGAUUUAUAAACCUUUGCUGAUUAUAAUAAUUUAUCCAAUCUACAUUUUUAUUGAUUGUAAACUACCAAAACACACACAACAAAGAUUCAAACCUUGUUGCUAUUUGAUUCCUAGCUUUGCGUUCAUCAGGAACUCCUCGAGGGACUCCAACUGAAUCAAUAUAGAUUCUUUUGUCAAAGGCUGUUCCUAAAAUACUUCUCUUUACUCUAUGCCCUGAGGAGUUUGUUUCCCUCUCAAAUGCAAGGGUAAAUAGAAUUAGAAUCAUAGAAUCAUAGAAUCGUAAGGGUUGGAAAGGACCUUAAGAUCAUCUAGUUCCAACCCCCCUGCCAUGGGCAGGGACACCUUGCCCUAAACCAUGUGGCUCAAGGCUCUGUCCAACCUGGCCUUGAACACCGCCAGGGAUGGAGCAUCCACAACCUCCCUGGGCAACCCAUUCCAGUGCUUCACCACCCUCACUGUAAAGAACUUCUUCCUUAUAUCUAAUCUAAACUUCCUCUGUUUAAGUUUGAACCC